rnacentral:misc_RNA from 1 species
GGGAGAUAAACCCCACGAGCCAGAUGCCAUAUAUGUCCGCAGUGUAAAUGAAAUAGAAGUUAAGCCAAAGCCUAAAGUAUACCCCAAUCCUCCAACAUGAUUAACAUCACAGAAAUCUCCCCUGCGAUCCAUGCUUUUCAUUCUGUAGCCCUCGAUUGGUUUUCAUGCUAGAGUCACUUGAUGGUGGUUUAGAGCCAAGGUCCCGAGUGACGCAG